GCGACCGGCGCACGGGUGAGUAACACGUAUCCAACCUGCCGUCUACUCUUGGAUAGCCUUCUGAAAGGAAGAUUAAUACAAGAUGGCAUCAUGAGUCCGCAUGUUCACAUGAUUAAAGGUAUUCCGGUAGACGAUGGGGAUGCGUUCCAUUAGAUAGUAGGCGGGGUAACGGCCCACCUAGUCUUCGAUGGAUAGGGGUUCUGAGAGGAAGGUCCCCCACAUUGGAACUGAGACACGGUCCAAACUCCUACGGGAGGCAGCAGUGAGGAAUAUUGGUCAAUGGGCGAGAGCCUGAACCAGCCAAGUAGCGUGAAGGAUGACUGCCCUAUGGGUUGUAAACUUCUUUUAUAAAGGAAUAAAGUCGGGUAUGGAUACCCGUUUGCAUGUACUUUAUGAAUAAGGAUCGGCUAACUCCGUGCCAGCAGCCGCGGUAAUACGGAGGAUCCGAGCGUUAUCCGGAUUUAUUGGGUUUAAAGGGAGCAUAGAUGGAUGUUUAAGUCAGUUGUGAAAGUUUGCGGCUCAACCGUAAAAUUGCAGUUGAUACUGGAUAUCUUGAGUGCAGUUGAGGCAGGCGGAAUUCGUGGUGUAGCGGUGAAAUGCUUAGAUAUCACGAAGAACUCCGAUUGCGAAGGCAGCCU
rnacentral:rRNA from 1 species